UAACGGCGGUGGUAACUAUAACCAUCCUAAGGUAGCGAAAUUCCUUGUCGGGUAAGUUCCGACCUGCACGAAUGGCGUAACGACUUCUCCGCUGUCUCGACCGCGAACUCGGCGAAAUUGCACUACGAGUAAAGAUGCUCGUUUCGCGCAGCAGGACGGAAAGACCCCGGGACCUUUACUAUAGCUUGGUAUUGGUGUUCGGUACGGCUUGUGUAGGAUAGGUGGGAGACCGUGAAGCCGCCACGCCAGUGGUGGUGGAGUCGCCGUUGAAAUACCACUCUGGUCGUACUGCACAUCUAACCUCGGUCCGUGAUCCGGACCAGGGACAGUGCCUGGUGGGUAGUUUAACUGGGGCGGUUGCCCAAAAUGUAACGGAGGCGCUCAAAGGUUCCCUCAGCCUGGUUGGCAAUCAGGUGUCGAGUGCAAGUGCACAAGGGAGCUUGACUGUGAGACUGACAGGUCGAGCAGGGACGAAAGUCGGAACUAGUGAUCCGGCGGUGGCUUGUGGAAGCGCGUCGCUCAACGGAUAAAAGGUACCCCGGGGAUAACAGGCUGAUCUUGCCCAAGAGUCCAUAUCGACGGCAUGGUUUGGCACCUCGAUGUCGGCUCGUCGCAUCCUGGGGCUGGAGUAGGUCCCAAGGGGUUGGGCUGUUCGCCCAUUC
rnacentral:ncRNA from 1 species